rnacentral:rRNA from 1 species
GAUGAACGCUGACAGAAUGCUUAACACAUGCAAGUCUUUGGCGAAGCUGUGCUCGCACAGCCUAGCCAAGGCGGACGGGUGAGUAACGCGUAAGGAACUUGCCCUGCAGUCAGGGAUAACAGACGGAAACGACUGAUAAGACCUGGUAAAGUCAGGCGGACUCAUGUCCAGCCUGAUGAAAAGAGAUGCUGCAGGAGAGCCUUGCGUCCUAUUAGCUUGUUGGUGGGGUAACGGCCCACCAAGGCGAUGAUAGGUAGCCGGCCUGAGAGGGUGGACGGCCACAAGGGGACUGAGAUACGGCCCUUACUCCUACGGGAGGCAGCAGUGGGGAAUAUUGGACAAUGGGGGCAACCCUGAUCCAGCAAUUCUGUGUGCACGAUGAAGGUUUUCGGAUAGUAAAGUGCUUUCAGCAGGGAAGAAAAAAAUGACGGUACCUGCAGAAGAAGCGACGGCUAAAUACGUG